GAUGAACGCUGGCGGCGUGCUUAACACAUGCAAGUCGAACGGAAAGGCCCAAGCUUGCUUGGGUACUCGAGUGGCGAACGGGUGAGUAACACGUGGGUGAUCUGCCCUGCACUUCGGGAUAAGCCUGGGAAACUGGGUCUAAUACCGGAUAGGACGAUGGUUUGGAUGCCAUUGUGGAAAGUUUUUUCGGUGUGGGAUGAGCUCGCGGCCUAUCAGCUUGUUGGUGGGGUAAUGGCCUACCAAGGCGUCGACGGGUAGCCGGCCUGAGAGGGUGUACGGCCACAUUGGGACUGAGAUACGGCCCAGACUCCUACGGGAGGCAGCAAUGGGGAAUAUUGCACAAUGGGCGCAAGCCUGAUGCAGCGACGCCGCGUGGGGGAUGACGGCCUUCGGGUUGUAAACUCCUUUCGCUAGGGACGAAGCGUUUUUGUGACGGUACCUGGAGAAGAAGCACCGGCUAACCACGUG
rnacentral:rRNA from 1 species